GAUAAACGCUGGCGGCGUGCCUAACACAUGCAAGUCGUAACGCCCUUACGCAAGUAAGGGAGUGGCGGACGGGUGAGGAACACGUGGGUGAUCUGCCUUGAGGUGAGGAAUACCGGCGAGAAAUCGCCGACAAUACCGCAUACGUUCGCAAGAACAAAGUCGCAAGACGCCUUGAGAUGAGCCUGCGUCCGAUUAGCUAGUUGGUGGGGUAAAAGCCUACCAAGGCAGCGAUCGGUAGCUGGUCUGAGAGGACGAUCAGCCACACUGGGAUUGAGAACGGCCCAGACUCCUACGGGGGC
rnacentral:rRNA from 1 species